ensembl:lncRNA
UCCAUGUCCAUGAGAACAGGCAUGCCUUCUGGACACCGCAUGGAGGUCAAGGGAAAGAAUGAGGCUCCAGACAUCGAUUACAUCCCAUUUUAAAUGGUUCUAUUGAUGGGGUGACAAUGGAAGAAGCAACAGACUCAGGAAUUCUAGACAGGCACUGGACAAUGGCUGACAGACUUGUAUGAAGACUGGAAAUGUUUGGCUAUCUCAGAGGAAAAGAAGGCCCCUCCGACUACACUGUACUCUAAGGACAGUUUAUUCAGGUGCUUCCCACACAAGAAGUCACAUGACCACAGAGUGUCAUUUGUCAAAGAACCAAGAACUUGUUCAAAACUCUACAGAGCAUCCAAUCUAUCACGUGGAUAUGCAAUGAUGAG